rnacentral:rRNA from 1 species
UACGGGAGGCAGCAGUGGGGAAUAUUGCACAAUGGGCGCAAGCCUGAUGCAGCCAUGCCGCGUGUAUGAAGAAGGCCUUCGGGUUGUAAAGUACUUUCAGUCGUGAGGAAGGUGUUAAGGUUAAUAACCUUAGCAAUUGACGUUAGCGACAGAAGAAGCACCGGCUAACUCCGUGCCAGCAGCCGCGGUAAUACGGAGGGUGCGAGCGUUAAUCGGAAUUACUGGGCGUAAAGGGCACGCAGGCGGUUAAUUAAGUUGGAUGUGAAAUCCCCGGGCUUAACCUGGGAAUGGCAUUCAAGACUGGUUAGCUAGAGUCUUGUAGAGGGGGUAGAAUUCCAUGUGUAGCGGUGAAAUGCGUAGAGAUGUGGAGGAAUACCGGGUGGCGAAGGCGGCCCCUGGGACAAAGACUGACGCUCAUGUGCGAAAGCGUGGGGAGCAAACAGGAUUAGAUACC